GACGAACGCUGGCGGCGUGCUUAACACAUGCAAGUCGAACGGAAAGGCCCUGCUUUUGUGGGGUGCUCGAGUGGCGAACGGGUGAGUAACACGUGAGUAACCUGCCCUUGACUUUGGGAUAACUUCAGGAAACUGGGGCUAAUACCGGAUAGGAGCUCCUGCUGCAUGGGGGGGGUUGGAAAGUUUCGGCGGUUGGGGAUGGACUCGCGGCUUAUCAGCUUGUUGGUGGGGUGGUGGCUUACCAAGGCUUUGACGGGUGGCCGGCCUGGGAGGGUGACCGGCCACAUUGGGACUGAGAUACGGCCCAGACUCCUACGGGAGGCAGCAGUGGGGAAUAUUGCACAAUGGGCGGAAGCCUGAUGCAGCAACGCCGCGUGCGGGAUGACGGCCUUCGGGUUGUAAACCGCUUUCGCCUGUGACGAAGCGUGAGUGACGGUAAUGGGUAAAGAAGCACCGGCUAACUACGUG
rnacentral:rRNA from 1 species